rnacentral:rRNA from 1 species
GGCUCAGGAUGAACGCUAGCUACAGGCUUAACACAUGCAAGUCGAGGGGAAACGAUAUUGGAAGCUUGCUUCUGAUAGGCGUCGACCGGCGCACGGGUGAGUAACGCGUAUCCAACCUGCCCAUCACUUGGGGAUAACCUUCGUGAAAGUAAGACUAAUACCCCAAUGACGUCUCUAGAAGACAUCUGAAAGAGAUUAAAAGAUUUAUCGGUGAUGGAUGGGGAUGCGUCUGAUUAGCUUGUUGCGGGGUAACGGCCCACCAAGGCGACGAUCAGUAGGGGGUUCUGAGAGGAAGGCCCCCCACAUUGGAACUGAGACACGGUCCAAACUCCUACGGGAGGCAGCAGUGAGGAAUAUUGGUCAAUGGACGAGAGUCUGAACCAGCCAAGUAGCGUGCAGGAUGACGGCCCUAUGGGUUGUAAACUGCUUUUAUAAAGGAAUAAAGUCGGGUAUGGAUACCCGUUUGCAUGUACUUUAUGAAUAAGGAUCGGCUAACUCCGUG